rnacentral:rRNA from 1 species
AGAAUCAACGCUGGCGGCGUGCCUAACACAUGCAAGUCGAACGAGAAAGUGGAGCAAUCCAUGAGUAAAGUGGCGACCGGGUGAGUAACACGUGACUAACCUACCUUCGAGUGGGGGAUAACCUCGGGAAACCGGGGCUAAUACCGCAUAACAUCUUUGAAGUGGAAAUUUCGGAGAUCAAAGGGGCAAUUCGCUUGAAGAGGGGGUCGCGGCUGAUUAGCUAGUUGGCGGGUAACGGCCCACCAAGGCUUAGAUCGGUA